UGGGGAAUCUUGCGCAAUGGCCGAAAGGCUGACGCAGCGACGCCGCGUGGGGGAGGAAGGCCUUCGGGUUGUAAACCCCUGUUGCCCGGGACGAAUGCGCUCCAUUGGGGGCGUUGACGGUACCGGGUGAGGAAGCACCGGCUAACUCCGUGCCAGCAGCCGCGGUAAUACGGAGGGUGCAAGCGUUGUCCGGAAUCACUGGGCGUAAAGGGCGCGUAGGCGGCUCAUGAAGGCUGUGGUGAAAGUCCGGGGCUCAACCUCGGAUCGGCCGUGGCGACUCGUGGGCUGGAGCACUGUAGAGGCGGGUGGAAUUCCGGGUGUAGCGGUGGAAUGCGUAGAGAUCCGGAAGAACACCAGUGGCGAAGGCGGCCCGCUGGGCAGUGGCUGACGCUGAAGCGCGACAGCGUGGGGAGCAAACA
rnacentral:rRNA from 1 species